rnacentral:rRNA from 1 species
GUUGUAUGGUUAAGUGACUAAGCGUACACGGUGGAUGCCUUGGCAGUCAGAGGCGAUGAAAGACGUAGUAACUUGCGAUAAGCCCAGAUUAGGUAGUAACAACCAUUUGAGUCUGGGAUUUCUGAAUGGGGAAACCCACGUGCAUAAGCACGUAUCCUUACCUGAAUACAUAGGGUAAGGAGGCGAACCGGGGGAACUGAAACAUCUAAGUACCCCGAGGAAAAGAAAUCAACCGAGAUUCCGAAAGUAGCGGCGAGCGAAAUUGGACUAGCCCUUAAGCUUUACACGCGUUAGACGAACGGUCUGGAAAGUCCGACGAUACAGGGUGAUAGUCCCGUAGUUGACGACGUGUGUUCAGUGAAAUCGAGUAGGGCGGGACACGUGAUAUCCUGUCUGAAUAUGGGGGGACCAUCCUCCAAGGCUAAAUACUACUGACUGACCGAUAGUGAACCAGUACCGUGAGGGAAAGGCGAAAAGAACCCCUGUGAGGGGAGUGAAAUAGAACCUGAAACCGUGUACGUACAAGCAGUAGGAGCAGGCUUUGUCCUGUGACUGCGUACCUUUUGUAUAAUGGGUCAGCGACUUAUAUUCAGUGGCAAGGUUAACCAUCUAGGGGAGCCGUAGGGAAACCGAGUCUUAACUGGGCGUUCAGUCUCUGGAUAUAGACCCGAAACCAGGUGAUCUAGCCAUGGGCAGGUUGAAGGUUGAGUAACAUCAACUGGAGGACCGAACCGACUAAUGUUGAAAAAUUAGCGGAUGACUUGUGGCUAGGGGUGAAAGGCCAAUCAAACCUGGAGAUAGCUGGUUCUCCCCGAAAGCUAUUUAGGUAGCGCCUCGGACGAAUACUACUGGGGGUAGAGCACUGUUAAGGCUAGGGGGUCAUCCCGACUUACCAACCCUUUGCAAACUCCGAAUACCAGUAAGUACUAUCCGGGAGACACACGGCGGGUGCUAACGUCCGUCGUGGAGAGGGAAACAACCCAGACCGCCAGCUAAGGUCCCAAAUUACUACUAAGUGGGAAACGAUGUGGGAAGGCUCAGACAGCCAGGAUGUUGGCUUAGAAGCAGCCAUCAUUUAAAGAAAGCGUAAUAGCUCACUGGUCGAGUCGGCCUGCGCGGAAGAUGUAACGGGGCUAAGUAGUAAACCGAAGCUGCGGCAAUGUGCUUUUGCACAUUGGGUAGGGGAGCGUUCUGUAAGCGGUUGAAGGUGUGUGGUAACGCAUGCUGGACGUAUCAGAAGUGCGAAUGCUGACAUGAGUAACGAUAAAGGGGGUGAAAAACCUCCUCGCCGGAAGACCAAGGGUUCCUGUCCAACGUUAAUCGGGGCAGGGUAAGUCGACCCCUAAGGCGAGGCCGAAAGGCGUAGUCGAUGGGAAACGGGUUAAUAUUCCCGUACUUCUUACAAUUGCGAUGGGGGGACGGAGAAGGCUAGGUGGGCCUGGCGACGGUUGUCCAGGUUCAAGUGCGUAGGCUUAAGAGUUAGGUAAAUCCGGCUCUUUUUAAGGCUGAGACACGACGUCGAGCACCUACGGGUGUGAAGUCAUUGAUGCCAUGCUUCCAGGAAAAGCCUCUAAGCUUCAGAUUGUAAGGAAUCGUACCCCAAACCGACACAGGUGGUCGGGUAGAGAAUACCAAGGCGCUUGAGAGAACUCGGGUGAAGGAACUAGGCAAAAUGGUACCGUAACUUCGGGAGAAGGUACGCUCUCGACGGUGAAGUCCCUCGCGGAUGGAGCUAUUGAGAGUCGCAGAUACCAGGUGGCUGCAACUGUUUAUUAAAAACACAGCACUGUGCAAAAUCGUAAGAUGACGUAUACGGUGUGACGCCUGCCCGGUGCCGGAAGGUUAAUUGAUGGGGUUAGACUUCGGUCGAAGCUCUUGAUCGAAGCCCCGGUAAACGGCGGCCGUAACUAUAACGGUCCUAAGGUAGCGAAAUUCCUUGUCGGGUAAGUUCCGACCUGCACGAAUGGCGUAAUGAUGGCCACGCUGUCUCCACCCGAGACUCAGUGAAAUUGAAAUCGCUGUGAAGAUGCAGUGUACCCGCGGCUAGACGGAAAGACCCCGUGAACCUUUACUACAGCUUGGCACUGAACAUUGACCCUACAUGUGUAGGAUAGGUGGGAGGCUUUGAAGCACGUACGCCAGUAUGUGUGGAGCCGUCCUUGAAAUACCACCCUUGUAGUGUUGAUGUUCUAACGUCGACCCCUUAUCGGGGUUGCGGACAGUGCCUGGUGGGUAGUUUGACUGGGGCGGUCUCCUCCCAAAGAGUAACGGAGGAGCACGAAGGUGGGCUAAUCACGGUUGGACAUCGUGAGGUUAGUGCAAUGGCAUAAGCCCGCUUGACUGCGAGAAUGACAAUUCGAGCAGGUGCGAAAGCAGGUCAUAGUGAUCCGGUGGUUCUGAAUGGAAGGGCCAUCGCUCAACGGAUAAAAGGUACUCCGGGGAUAACAGGCUGAUACCGCCCAAGAGUUCAUAUCGACGGCGGUGUUUGGCACCUCGAUGUCGGCUCAUCACAUCCUGGGGCUGAAGUCGGUCCCAAGGGUAUGGCUGUUCGCCAUUUAAAGUGGUACGCGAGCUGGGUUUAGAACGUCGUGAGACAGUUCGGUCCCUAUCUGCCGUGGGCGUUGGAAGAUUGAAGGGGGCUGCUCCUAGUACGAGAGGACCGGAGUGGACGAACCUCUGGUGUUCGGGUUGUGUCGCCAGACGCAUUGCCCGGUAGCUAAGUUCGGAAUCGAUAACCGCUGAAAGCAUCUAAGCGGGAAGCGAGCCCUGAGAUGAGUCUUCCCUGAUACUUUAAGUAUCCUAAAGGGUUGUCGGAGACUACGACGUUGAUAGGUCAGGUGUGUAAGUGCUGUGAGGCAUUGAGCUAACUGAUACUAAUUGCCCGUGAGGCUUAACCAUACAACACCCAAGGGGUUU